rnacentral:rRNA from 1 species
UACGUAGGGUGCGAGCGUUGUCCGGAAUUAUUGGGCGUAAAGAGCUCGUAGGCGGUUUGUCGCGUCGACUGUGAAAACCUACAGCUUAACUGUGGGCUUGCAGUCGAUACGGGCAGACUUGAGUUCGGUAGGGGAGACUGGAAUUCCUGGUGUAGCGGUGAAAUGCGCAGAUAUCAGGAGGAACACCGGUGGCGAAGGCGGGUCUCUGGGCCGGUACUGACGCUGAGACGCGAAAGCGUGGGGAGCGAACAGG